rnacentral:rRNA from 1 species
CAGGUUUACCUGUGUGACUGCGUACCUUUUGUAUAAUGGGUCAGCGACUUAUAUUCUGUAGCAAGGUUAACCGUAUAGGGGAGCCGGAGGGAAACCGAGUCUUAACCGGGCGUUAAGUUGCAGGGUAUAGACCCGAAACCCGGUGAUCUAGCCAUGGGCAGGUUGAAGGUUGGGUAACACUAACUGGAGGACCGAACCGACUAAUGUUGAAAAAUUAGCGGAUGACCUGUGGCUGGGGGUGAAAGGCCAAUCAAACCGGGAGAUAGCUGGUUCUCCCCGAAAGCUAUUUAGGUAGCGCCUCGUGAAUUCAUCUCCGGGGGUAGAGCACUGUUUCGGCUAGGGGGCCAUCCCGGCUUACCAACCCGAUGCAAACUGCGAAUACCGGAGAAUGUUAUCACGGGAGACACACGGCGGGUGCUAACGUCCGUCGUGAAGAGGGAAACAACCCAGACCGCCAGCUAAGGUCCCAAAGUCAUGGUUAAGUGGGAAACGAUGUGGGAAGGCCCAGACAGCCAGGAUGUUGGCUUAGAAGCAGCCAUCAUUUAAAGAAAGCGUAAUAGCUCACUGGUCGAGUCGGCCUGCGCGGAAGAUGUAACGGGGCUAAACCAUGCACCGAAGCUGCGGCAGCGAACGUAUCACCCAAGACAACUUUACGGAGUUGACGAUUGACGGAGCGAAGCGACGUCAAAGCGUUCAUUAAAGUCGAGUUGGCUUAGGGAUACGUU